UAUAAUGUAUAUAAGAAAGAGAAUGUUGAAAUUUAAGAGAUACCAUAUGUAGAAACAUUUUUGGGUUCUUUUGAAACACUUUGUUCACUUUAAUCCAAAUGACUCAAUCUGAUUAAUCUGAACCCUCACCCCUCCCCCCGCUCUGUUAAAAUCAAGGGUGUAUACCUGAGCCCCCUCUUUCUCUCUCUAUACUUUUGGCUCCACAAAUUGAGAUUCGGGUUUUGAAUUUUGAAAAGGGUUUGAGCUCCACAAAUCUCAAAUCUGAGACAAGGCUCUCUUCCACCACCACUCCAUCCUCUUUCUACAGCAACGGUUCUUCUGUGUCAAGAAGUAGCAAUGGUGGCUAUGGUUCAAGUGGUGGUAGUAUGCUUUGCUUGGGUUCUAACAGCAUUAAGUAUUCCGGCAACCACCAGUGAAAACGAGCGCCAUAAACAGAUUCCACUAGGUUUUCGGCGAGAUUUCUGGUAUGUGUACAUGGUUAAUGGACAAAUCUGUUUGUUUUUUUGUGUAUAUGUUUCUAUUAUUUGUGAACAAACAGAUGGUGGUUGCAAUUUGCAACUACACUUUCUACAACUCUUCAGUUUCUCUUCUACUCAGACCCCACCUCCUUACUCUUCACAAGCCCUAAAUCGUCUAUCAAAUUUGUGAAUCUAUAAGUUAAUUUGAUGAUAUAAUGAAUGUUCAAGUUACAGAUGUUAUUGAAGAUCUAUCAAGGCCCAAUUUGAACAGAGAAGCUGGAUGCAUAGGUAUUUGAUUACCGUUGGUUCCUGGAUAAAGCAAGGGGCUAAAGCUAUGAAUUAAUCUGUUUUUGUACUUUAUUCUUUAUUGUGGUUGGGAGUAUGGAGUUUAGGGGUUGAGAUUAAAAUUUGAAGCUCAGGUUUUGGCAUUCUGAUCCAAAAUUACUUUGAUUCUUAUACUGGUACAUGUAACUAAGCUUGAGACACUUGUAUGUUAUUUGCUAAACUGUUGAUGCUUGAUUGAUGUAUUUUACAGAGUUUUUGAGUCAACAUUUGCUAGAAGAAAGUCUAUUCUAAAGGAACGGUUCUCAAAGAAGUACAAGCAGCUCACACUCAAGUGAUUAAAUGCGCAGUACACCCUGGACCACAUACCAUAGACGGCAUAGUGGCAGCAACCAGCUGGUGGUAGAAAAGAUUCUUGCUGGAACCAUAAGGCGAGAAAUGGCUUUUGUUACCAGAUCGUUUCUUCUCUCUGCAUGAUUCCUCCCGCAUUCUUCAACCUGUGUUCACGCUAGCUGCUGAGAGCUCUGGAGGCUGAUGUUAAUACACUACAGGAAGCUGAGCUCGUAUUAACUUUUGAAAACCUCACCACUUCAUAAGGCUGGUGGGUAUGGUCCCGUCCUCCACCCCGGCGCCGCCACGGUGUCAUCGUCCCUCCACGCUGCCCCCCCCUCCGUCCCGUCCUCUUCGUCCUUUCUUUGCCGUUUGCGACGGAGCAAACAGGUGCCCCCCCCCCCCCCCCCCCCGGUCUUCAUCCCGUCACCCUCUUCAUCCCGUCACCAUACCCAGUAGCCUAAGUAUUAGUUCCAUGUGUUAAGAUCCUUGAACAGUACACACGUCUUACAUGUUUCAGUUGCACAGAACUUGUGAAGUUCUAUUUAAACAUGUGGUGCAAAAUCUCAUCAGAUUUUGGUCUUUGAUUCAUUAUUGACUGGUUAUAUUACAAAGGUUUCAAAACCUGUUCCAAGAGUAGUUCAUCCAUAUUGGUAUGUUUGUUUUGUUAGUAAACGAUCACCCAUUAGUGGUUUGUAUAUUUGUGUAACUAUGGAUUUUCCUUGGCCAACUUAUCUUGUACCACUAUUAUCUAUCAUUAACGAUGGAAUAUAUCUCAAAAUACUAUUAAAUUAAAUAAA